GAAAAAAGGGGGCCCACGCGGCGGCGCGUUAAAAGCAUCGCAAGUCGAUUAGCUAAGGGCCUUCGGGCCCCUAGAGCGGCGGACGGGUGAGUAACACGUGGACAAUCUGCCCCCCGGCCCGGGAUUGCCCAGGGAAACCUGGAUUAAUACCGGAUGAGACGGGACCCGCGAUGGCGGGACCCGGGAAAGGCGCUGCGGCGCCGCCGGGGGAUGAGUCUGCGUCCCAUUAGCUAGACGGCGGGGUAACGGCCCACCGUGGCGACGAUGGGUAGCCGGCCUGAGAGGGUGGACGGCCACAUUGGAACUGAGACACGGUCCAGACUCCUACGGGAGGCAGCAGCUUUUAUUCUUCCGCAAUGGGCGAAAGCCUGACGGAGCGACGCCGCGUGAACGAAGAAGGCCGUGAGGUUGUAAAGUUCUUUUCGGGAGGGGGAACAACCGUGGCAGGGAAUGGCCGCGGGAUGACGUGAAUCCCGGAAUAAGCCCCGGUUAACUACGUGCCAGCAGCCGCGGUCAU
rnacentral:rRNA from 1 species